GCCGAGAUAGCUCAGUUGGUAGAGCAGUGGUUUGAAGAACCUCGUGUCACCAGUUCAAGUCUGGUUCUUGGCA
rnacentral:tRNA from 1 species